UAUUGCACAACGGGGGAAACCCUGAUGCAGCGACGCCGCGUGGAGGAAGAAGGUCUUCGGAUUGUAAACUCCUGUUGUUGAGGAAGAUAAUGACGGUACUCAACAAGGAAGUGCCGGCUAACUACGGGCGAGCAGCCGCGGUAAAACGUAGGCAACAAGCGUUGUCCGGAAUUACUGGGUGUAAAGGGAGCGCAGGCGGGAGAACAAGUUGGAAGUGAAAUCCAUGGGCUCAACCCAUGAACUGCUUUCAAAACUGUUCUUCUUGAGUAGUGCAGAGGUAGGCGGAAUUCCCGGUGUAGCGGUGGAAUGCGUAGAUAUCGGGAGGAACACCAGUGGCGAAGGCGGCCUACUGGGCACCAACCGACGCUGAGGCUCGAAAGUGUGGGUAGCAAACAGG
rnacentral:rRNA from 1 species